rnacentral:rRNA from 1 species
UGAAAUGCGUAGAUAUAUGGAGGAACACCGGUGGCGAAAGCGGCUCUCUGGUCUGUAACUGACGCUGAGGCUCGAAAGCGUGGGGAGCGAACAGGAUUAGAUACCCUGGUAGUCCACGCCGUAAACGAUGAGUGCUAGGUGUUGGACAGUGCCGCAGCUAACGCAUUAAGCACUCCGCCUGGGGAGUACGACCGCAAGGUUGAAACUCAAAGGAAUUGACGGGGGCCCGCACAAGCGGUGGAGCAUGUGGUUUGAUUCGAAGUAACGCGAAGAACCUUACCAGGUCUUGACAUCCAGGUGGUGCAUGGUUGUCGUCAGCUCGUGUCGUGAGAUGUUGGGUUAAGUCCCGCAACGAGCGCAACCCCUAUUGUUAGUUGCCACUCUAGCGAGACUGCCGGUAAUAAACCGGAGGAAGGUGGGGAUGACGUCAAAUCAUCAUGCCCCUUAUGACCUGGGCUACACACGUGCUACAAUGGUUGGUACAACGAGUUGCGAGUCGGUGACGGCAAGCUAAUCUCUUAAAGCCAAUCUCAGUUCGGAUUGUAGGCUGCAACUCGCCUACAUGAAGUCGGAAUCGCUAGUAAUCGCGGAUCAGACGCCGCGGUGAAUACGUUCCCGGG